GGCAGGCCUGCUGGCAGCUCGCCGGGAAUUUCGGGCGCCAUCGGGCGGGUAGCUGACGGACACGGUGUCGUUGGGACAGACGCGCCAGAUCUGGGUAACGCUGCACCGGUUCGCCGGUCCGUAGAGAAUUAGUACUUUUUCAGGACACCCUGCACAGCUGUACAGAUGUGUGUGGCGCUUGGCAGCUGCAGCGCCCGGGCGGCGGGGGGGCUGGGACGGUUCUGUGUCCCAGCGCUCCGCAAUAACCUUCCCUUAAUGCCCGUGUGCUCCUGUGCCCGCACGGAAAACGUUUCUCGGUGCAGGGAAAGCCGCCUGUCAAACCUGCCAUUGCAGGCUCCUCGUGCCCAACAGGCGGGUAUCAAACUUCUCCCUUUACUGGGCCAUGCUUUCUUAAAAAAUUCCCACUGGAUUUGCAGCUGCCUGCCCUCUCUGCCGCAGCCCUACAGGGAAAAGGAGAAGGGGGAAAUGUUACCUGGAGUUUUCCCAAUGCCUUUUACUUCCCAGUGCCUGGAGCAUCUUCAGUCUGCAUCCCACCCACCCCCAGGUGUGGAUUUACCAUCUGGCAGAUGCUCUGACUUCCACUGAGAGCUGGAAGCCCAGGAAGGCGGCCAGCGCCGAGGGUUGGGAGCCCAGGAAGGUCUCGUUGCCAUUUGCCUCAUCCAGUGCUGGGAAGUGGGAUGUACGACGAGGCCUCCGGAAAGCCUGAACCAACUGGACCCUGGUACCAGUGACAACGCACCUGACUUCUGUGCGAGCAGCUGAUGUGAUGGUAACGUGGUGGGCUUGGAGAAACAGGUCUGCAGAGAGCACCCAGGGCUCACCUCUCAGUGGAGCAAAAUGGUCUGUCAUAUCCAUUUGCUAGUGUGAAUUACAUGCCCCUGGACGGAUGUUCAGAAGGUUAAAUACUGAGAUACAUCUGGAAAAAAGGACUAUGUAUACAAGCUACGGUAUCUCGUGUGAUGUAUUUAAUGUCCCUAAUUUACAUGCUGACAACUUUGCCAUUUCUAAACAAUGUUAUCAUUCAUCUUUCUGAUGAUUAAUCAGCACAAGCUUCAAACACUGUUUAUCACACUUUGAUGCAGCAAUCAAACAAGAAAGGCAAGGUGUUACAGGGGUGGUGGCGUUUUUUUCCAAAAAUCUUACAGUAUUUACAAAAAGAUGCAUAUGUUUUUUCUAACACCAUUCUUAGAAUUAUUCACUCAUUCACAAUCAUUGUAUAAAAACAUCAUUCAGAAACAGGUUUUAAAAUACACCCACCUCCUUUGCAUAGUAUACAGAAAAAUAGGCAAUUCAAGACACUUAAUUUUUGAAUGAGAAUGUGAACUGAUUCAAAGGUGCAACACUUCUGAGGAAGAAGGAUGCACUUCUCAAAAAAUAAUCAGCUGUGGUUCUCCUGAAGCUAAUGAGCUUCUUGUAGGUCUGCCAUCAAAUUCCCCUUUUACAGAUCAAGUAAUUUUUGCAGUGUACUGCCAUACACACGAUGCUUGCAUUAAGGUCAAACAAAUCACACUUCAGUUAGAUUUACUCUGUAGUAUUUGCAUCUGGACACUGACAAAAAUGAGUUACACAAAGUACUCACAAGGAUCAACGUUUCUUUCAUGUAUCAUGGCCCAUCCUUGGAACAACUCAAUGGACCUGAUUUGAUAUUUCCAAUUUCUGCUUGUAUAAUUGAGAAGCUGAAUAUACCCUUAUACUUGUAGUAUCUUUUCUUCUGUAAAAGGACCUUGGGUUCUCUUCACUAAAAGUUCAAAUGGCAGGCUGUGGCGGGAUUAUCAGGCACUGACUGUAUCUAUCCUGUUGAUUUUCAAACAAAACUUGGUAAUUUAGUCAGUUGGUUAUCUUGUAUGCUGAUCUUUUUUUUUUUUUUUUGCUUUAAAAAUGUGCUCCAGUGAAUUCAUUGAGCCUGGUCCAUUAAAGAGCAACAGGGAACUCUGAACAAUAGGUGCUUGUUUUACAGCUACUGCAAAUGCUUUGAAAGCACUAAAUUGCCUUUUAUACUCAACAGUCUAAUAACAAAGACUGAUUUUCUCCCUUUUUUUCCCCAAUUGAUUUGAUGGUUCACUUGAGCUUUAAAAACACAUUACAUAAAUCUUUACGGCUAUUACAAAAGUCUUUUGUCAAGUUUAAUUUGGUGUUCAGUUGUGGGGUUUUUUUUCCAUGGUAUAAUCAUUCACCCUUAAAUGCACUGUACCACCCAUACCCAGAUCGUGCUUGACUCUAGAUCCAUAGGAAUACAAAGUCCUAGAGGUUUGUUUUGCAUGGGGAGGGACCUAAAUCCUUCCAAAAGCAGUUUGUCACUGAAAGCUCCUGGUUCAGAGCUAUAUCAGAAAAAGCGCGGAGCACUCCCAGAGGCACCUCUGACAACAGCUCUACUCUCUCCUGCUAUUUCAACUUUACUGUUACAACCUGGACUUAAUAGCCCGUGGUGGAAGUACCGGCUGGGAUUGACUGAGAGGGUGGGAGAUCCAUCAGUGCAGACCUCUGCCCUGCUGCAGAAGAAAGGGAAACGUGCUGCUCAACCGGGCAGAGCAAGAGCUGGUAGAAAAGCAGUAAGUGCUGAAAAACCUUCAGAAAUGCAAUUAGGCACAAAACCCCCAAAACCUGAGCAGGUGAAAUUAUCGUCACCAGUAAAAGCAGAGAGGCUGUUAAAUGCCAGGCAGGCUUCCUCAUCCUACUUUCUCCUGACCCCUUUGAGUCCAGAUGCCUUUUCACUUUCCUCCUGCUUCUGAAGUGGAGGGUUUCUAUUGCUCUCCCCGUCCCCAGCCCUCCCCAUCCCGAGCUGUGGUCUGCGAGGAGAGCCUGGCCCUCGAGGUGUGCAGGGCCAGGGCUUGCUUUGGGGAAGGUGAAGAAGGAAAGGCUGGGAGCAGUAGGAUGCUCUCCCACCAAUCCACCCCUCUCUGCAAUUAUCAUCGCUCGGCUCUUUGAAGACCAGGUCGGUACAACCAGGGUUUGGCUGGCACUGUAAGGAGAAGGUGGGGGGCUCUGCUGGUGAUGGAGGCGGAGAUGAAGGAGUGACUCAGAAAGAACCCAGUUAAAUGCAUAGAGGUCCAUCUCCACCCCUGAGCUUCUCAAUACUGGGAGCCAGAGUGAGCUUCUCAGUCAGGGAUGCUGCGGUAAGAUGCGUUUGAUGCUCAGAGAUUCCCCACAUGCACCCAACCAGAAGAUGCUGCAGCUAGCCGUCUGGGAUUCCGCUCUCAUUGCCAGUGCCGUAAAUCUGGAGUUGUGACACUGACUUUCCUGGCUGUGUUUGGACCAGCACAAAACCUGGCUACAUGCCAUAACCGCUGUAAAUGCAGGACGGGUCAGAUUCACGCCUGGUGGAGCACGAUGGAGGAGUGGGGGACAGCACUCUAUUAAUGAAGCUAUUAUUCAAAUGAAGAACUUUUUUUUAAAAAAAAAAAAAGAAUAAAAAAAGAAAAAAAAAAGAGAA